CGAGCAGGCGGUGGAUCUGCUGAUCCAGACGGACGAGCUCCUCGCUGAGUGUCAGGAGAGCACGAUCCUCCGCACACGCCAUUACCUCGAAGCCCAGUCCCCGAAGACCCAGCAUCUUCAGUGUCCUGGAGCUCAAGCAGCAGCACUUGCCUCUCCACCGUCUCCAUCCCCACCCGAAAGAGGAAGAUCAGCAGAAGGAGGCUUCCAGGAUGUAAAGAGGAGGAGAGGAGAGGGAGAGCAGAUCAAAGCUUUGUAAAUUGCUUUCUAAAUAAGUGUUUUUUUUUAUUGUUA